GCGGCGACCGGCGCACGGGUGCGUAACGCGUAUCCAACUUGCCCUUGUCCCGGGGAUAGCCUCGCGAAAGCGAGAAUAAUACCCGGUGUAGCCACGGUUCCGCAUGGAAUUGUGGCGAUAGGUCCGCCGGACAAGGAUAGGGAUGCGUCCCAUUAGGCAGUAGGCGGGGUAACGGCCCACCUAACCGACGAUGGGUAGGGGUUCUGAGAGGAAGGUCCCCCACAUUGGAACUGAGACACGGUCCAAACUCC
rnacentral:rRNA from 1 species